UUCAGAAUGAUACGUUUGAAACCGAAAUUAAAAUAUUGCAAUGUUCGUACUAUAGUAAAUUGGAUGGUCUAACUGACGCCGAUAAAAUUUGCUUUAAAAUCGAUUUCGAAGAUGAUGCAUCAAUAAGUUCUAUUGAAAACUGUCCGAGACAAAAACGUAGAUCGCCCUUUAGUUCUAAGUGCACAUAUGGCUAUUCAACACAUAUUGAAGGAUUUCAUGAUAAUUCAG